UAUAAAAAGCUUCAGAGUAGUCAUUACAGCCAUUGAGCUGAUGGUAGUUUUAUGACUUUUACUCACCAUAAGGCGAGGCAGCGGUCGACUGAUGCAAAACCGCUUCGGAGAGGCUGGCAUCCGCAGGGCCCCCCGCACCUGCAGUGUCACCCACUGGCUACUGAGCAGGAGCAGGACGGGGAAAUGGAGCUGUAAAAAUCCCCAGCCAGUUUUCGGAGAGCUGCAAGGGGCAGGGGAGCUGCUUGAAAGCUGCCAUUAGCCUGGCUUUGCACGGGGGUGAGCUUGCCCAGGCUUCACACCCCAAAAGGUUUAGGGAGAAUUGUCCUUCCUCUCUGUGUCCCCAAUGCUCAUAUUGUGCACCAGUCCCCCGGGCACACAUUUUAAGGGGAAAGCUGUGCUUGGUAGUGUGUAUGCCUUGUGGCUGGUACCUGUGAAAGUAUGCAGUGGCUCUGAUAAAUAUUCCACGUGCUGCUAGAGCUGCCCUCUGCCAUGUAGGCACUGCACCCCUCCACUGCCAGCUGCCUCCGCACAUCUGAAAAAUUCCCACAUUCGGCCCUGGCCUCUCCUAAAUAGAGUAGGACAGAAACAUUGUGCCUAUCUGUGGCAGACACUGUUUUUCAGGUGCCUUAUCUCUAGUGGCUUUCUUGUGGGACUGCUACUUAUGGCUCUGUAGGAACAUCAACAGGCUCUACAACUGAUAGUCAGCUGUGCCAGGCAAAUGCAUGGGCUGUGUUACAUCAAGAACCAGCAUGGAAGAACCAUCCUCCUGUAGCUAAUUAAUGUGUGGUGCUUUGGGCAUAAUGAGUUGAAAUGUUGCCCAUGCACAGAGGAACCGAGUGUACACGUAUUGCAAUGCUCAGCAGAGCAAUAGGAAGACACGAGUUGUCAGAGACUUCAUCACCACCAUGGUCAUCAAUUGCCUUAGGUACUGGGGCAGCCUUUUUUUGGAGAUCAUUGCGUGUGAGAAAAGAGGCUUCUGGGAAUGAGCUGAUGAUGCCUUCCUUUCUUUUCACUCUUUUGAAAGGGAGGGAUGAACUAAUGAGAAAGAUGGAACAUUUCACGUAAACUGUAGCAGACGUUAGAUAUACUUAACCAUCUGCAUGUAUCGGAUAUUGCUGUUCUAUUUGUUAUACAAUCAAUGGCAAUAAAACGAAAAAGUGUAACUGAACA
rnacentral:lncRNA from 1 species